rnacentral:lncRNA from 1 species
UUGUAUCCACCUUGAUGCUCGAACACCAAAGUGGCCCUCCUCCAGCAAGGCCCGGAGCUUCACACAUCACAGUUUGCUCCUAGCAUUCACAAAUAGAAGAAUCUUAACGAAAUUCAAAUUUCUCAUUUUCCUCAAUCAAUUCAUCCAUUUGUUGCCCUAACCUUAAUGCCCGAACAUCGCAAUGUUCCCUUCACAAGGUCUGAAGCUUCG